AGGGCUGGGGCUCAGUGAUAGCGCACUCACCUGGCAUGUGUGAGGCACUGGGUUCGAUUCUCAGCACCCCGU
rnacentral:tRNA from 1 species